UACGUAGGCAGCAAGCGUUGUUCGGAGUUAUUGGGCGUAAAGAGCGUGUAGGCGGUUUGGUAGGUCCGUUGUGAAAACUCGAGGCUCAACCUCGAGACGCCGAUGGAAACCAUCAGACUAGAGUCCGGAAGAGGAGAGUGGAAUUCCUGGUGUAGCGGUGAAAUGCGCAGAUAUCAGGAGGAACACCGAUGGCGAAGGCAGGUCUCUGGGCUGUAACUGACGCUGAGGAGCGAAAGCAUGGGGAGCGAACAGG
rnacentral:rRNA from 1 species